rnacentral:rRNA from 1 species
UACGGGGGGGGCAAGCGUUGUUCGGAAUUACUGGGCGUAAAGGGCUUGUAGGUGGCCAACUAAGUCAGACGUGAAAUCCCUCGGCUUAACCGGGGAACUGCGUCUGAUACUGGAUGGCUUGAGUGUGGGAGAGGGAUGCGGAAUUCCAGGUGUAGCGGUGAAAUGCGUAGAUAUCUGGAGGAACACCGGUGGCGAAGGCGGCAUCCUGGACCAUUACUGACACUGAAAAGCUAAAUCCAGGGGAGCAAACUGG